rnacentral:rRNA from 1 species
GAUGAACGCUGGCGGCGUGCCUAAUACAUGCAAGUCGAGCGAACAGAUGAGGAGCUUGCUCCUCUGACGUUAGCAGCGGACGGGUGAGUAACACGUGGAUAACCUACCUAUAAGACUGGGAUAACUACGGGAAACCGGAGCUAAUACCGGAUAAUAUAUUGAACCGCAUGGUUCAAUAGUGAAAGACGGUUUUGCUGUCACUUAUAGAUGGAUCCGCGCCGCAUUAGCUAGUUGGUAAGGUAACGGCUUACCAAGGCAACGAUGCGUAGCCGACCUGAGAGGGUGAUCGGCCACACUGGAACUGAGACACGGUCCAGACUCCUACGGGAGGCAGCAGUAGGGAAUCUUCCGCAAUGGGCGAAAGCCUGACGGAGCAACGCCGCGUGAGUGAUGAAGGUCUUCGGAUCGUAAAACUCUGUUAUUAGGGAAGAACAAAUGUGUAAGUAACUAUGCACGUCUUGACGGUACCUAAUCAGAAAGCCACGGCUAACUACGUG